GAUGAACGCUGGCGGCGUGCCUAAUACAUGCAAGUCGAGCGAACAGAUGAGGAGCUUGCUCCUCUGACGUUAGCGGCGGACGGGUGAGUAACACGUGGAUAACCUACCUAUAAGACUGGGAUAACUUCGGGAAACCGAAGCUAAUACCGGAUAAUAUAUUGAACCGCAUGGUUCAAUAGUGAAAGACGGUUUUGCUGUCACUUAUAGAUGGAUCCGCGCCGCAUUAGCUAGUUGGUAAGGUAACGGCUUACCAAGGCAACGAUGCGUAGCCGACCUGAGAGGGUGAUCGGCCACACUGGAACUGAGACACGGUCCAGACUCCUACGGGAGGCAGCAGUAGGGAAUCUUCCGCAAUGGGCGAAAGCUUGACGGAGCAACGCCGCGUGAGUGAUGAAGGUCUUCGGAUCGUAAAACUCUGUUAUUAGGGAAGAACAAAUGUGUAAGUAACUAUGCACGUCUUGACGGUACCUAAUCAGAAAGCCACGGCUAACUACGUG
rnacentral:rRNA from 1 species